rnacentral:rRNA from 1 species
GUCUUCUUGUGAAACCUGGGCUCCUAUGCGAGGGCAAUAGCUCCAGUGUUGUCACAGAAGAGUUUGAUCGGCCCCGACGCAUUGGGUAUGACUCCUAGGUCGGUGAUGAACUCCUUCACCCAAAUCGCUUCAUGUGUUGCCUCCGAGGCUGCCAUGUACUCCGCUUCACACGUAGAUCCCGCCACGACGCUCUGCUUGCAGCUGCACCAGCUUACUGCUCCACCAUUCAACAUAUACACGUAUCCGGUUUGUGACUUAGAGUCAUCCAGAUCUGAGUCGAAGCUAGCGUCGACGUAACCCUUUACGACGAGCUCUUCGUCUCCUCCAUAAACGAGAAACAUGUCCUUUGUCCUUUUCAGGUACUUCAGGAUAUUCUUGACCGCUGUCCAGUGUUCCUUGCCGGGAUUACUUUGGUAUCUUGCUACCAAACUUACGGCAAGGUUUACAUCGGGUCUGGUACAUAGCAUGGC